AGGAGCCGUGUGUGCAUUAAUAGUGCAAGCACGGUUCUGUGAGGGGGGCGAGACAAUCUACAGCAAGGUAUAAAGGCUCCCUUCUACUCGAC
rnacentral:autocatalytically_spliced_intron from 1 species